rnacentral:rRNA from 1 species
CUAGCCGUAAACGAUGGACACUAGACGUUGGCCGUAUCGACCCGGUCAGUGUCGAAGCUAACGCGUUAAGUGUCCCGCCUGGGGAGUACGCACGCAAGUGUGAAACUCAAAGGAAUUGACGGGGGCCCGCACAAGCGGUGGAGCAUGUGGUUUAAUUCGAUGCAACGCGAAGAACCUUACCAGGGCUUGACAUGCCGCGAACCCUGCGGAAACGUGGGGGUGCCUUCGGGAGCGCGGACACAGGUGGUGCAUGGCUGUCGUCAGCUUGUGUCGUGAGAUGUUGGGUUAAGUCCCGCAACGAGCGCAACCCUUGUUCCUAGUUGCCAGCAUUGAGUUGGGCACUCUAGGGAGACUGCCGGUGACAAACCGGAGGAAGGUGAGGACGACGUCAAGUCAGCAUGCCCCUUACGCUCUGGGCUACACACGUGCUACAAUGGCGCGGACAAAGGGUCGCGAGCGCGCGAGCGUGAGCCAAUCCCAAAAACCGCGUCUCAGUUCAGAUCGCAGGCUGCAACUCGCCCGCGUGAAGGCGGAAUCGCUAGUAAUCGCAGAUCAGCAUGCUGCGGUGAAUACGUUCCCGGGCCUUGUACACACCGCCCGUCACACCAUGGGAGCUGGCCAUGCCCGAAGUCGGAGCACCCGCCGAAGGCAGGGCUGGUGACUGGGGUGAAGUCGUAACAAGGUAGCCGUACCGGAAGGUGCGGCUGGAUCACCUCCUUU